rnacentral:ribozyme from 12 species
GUUCUUGUGUUUUUUUUUUCUUUCUUUUCUUUCUCCUUUGUUUUCUCUCGGUUUGA